AUGGAGUUGAAGUUGACAUGGGUUUUCCUUGUUGCUAUUUUCAAAGGUGUCCAGUGUGAGGUGCAACUGGUGGAGUCUGGGGGAAGCUUGGUGCAGCCUGCAGGUUCCCUGAGACUCUCCUGUGCAGCCUCUGGAUUCACCUUCUGUGAUUACUACAUGAGCUGGGUCUGUCAGGCUCCAGAGAAGGGUCUGGAGUCAAUUGCAUGCAUUAGAAACAAAACUAAUAGUUACACCACAGAAUACAAUGCAUCUGUGAAAGGCAGAUUGACCAUUUCCAGAGAUGAUGAAAAGAACCAGCUGCAUCUGCAAAUGAAAAGCCUGAGAGCUGAGGACACAGCCAUGUAUACUGUGCAAGACACACAGUGA